rnacentral:lncRNA from 7 species
GGGAAGCACAAAAUGGCGCCAAGCAGCAAGGAAUUGAGUCUAGUGAAGUGCAGUUCUCAAUCCGAUGAAGAAAUCGUUUCUGAAGUUUGGAAGCUAAUCCUUUCCAAAGGCGGUGAACUCCUGUGGGGAGAUAAAAGCAUGCUAGGUCCUGAGGGAGAAGAACAGAAGGAUAGAAAAAGCAUCAUUUUUGAGUGUAGUCUUUGCACAUCACACAAGAGUUUUUUCAGGGCUUUAUUGAGAAGACGAUGUCUGAAGUCACUGUGAAUGGGUGAACACAGAGUUCCUAUGGUUUAUGCAGCAAAAUGAAGAAGUGAUUUUAAGUUCCUUAAAGAAAAUCCAUCUGGUAGCUGUGCCAGCUCUGUCUUCCUCAUGUUCGUGUGCAUUUGCUUUGUUCCUGGUCCCAGAUGGAUUUCUGAAAAUGGCAUGGGGAUGCCAAAAUGCAUCUGAAGACACAUAUCAUCAGUAUGCACAAAUUGUAAAGAAUGCACUCCCUGGAGCGAUGGGUGAUUUCAUCAAAAGUGACUUUCCAGCUAUGCUGAAACCUUUCAUGUCUCUUGUGCAAUCUGCAAUGCUAAAGCAAACAAUUCGAGUGCCAGAUUGUCUUAAGUAUCUGAAUACUUCAGCUUAUUAAAGGGCCGCAAUCUUAUCAAAUCAGAGAAAAUAUGAAGUCUCAAAAACAAAUUAAGCUGCUAUAAAUACACCCAAGUAGAUAUAAUCAAUUUCUCUCUCCCUCCACAAUAAACAAAUCAAUCAAUCAAC